CUUGCAACAGUCUCUAAAUCGCUUGGUGCAGUUCGGGAGUUCUUUUGCCUGUGCAAUUGAUAGUUGGCAAAAGAUUUGUACUAAAUGAAUCAGAGUCUGACAUGAAU
rnacentral:pre_miRNA from 1 species